AUUGAACGCUGGCGGCAGGCCUAACACAUGCCAGUCGAGCGGAUGAAGGGAGCUUGCUCCUGGAUUCAGCGGCGGACGGGUGAGUAAUGCCUAGGAAUCUGCCUGGUAGUGGGGGAUAACGUCCGGAAACGGGCGCUAAUACCGCAUACGUCCUGAGGGAGAAAGUGGGGGAUCUUCGGACCUCACGCUAUCAGAUGAGCCUAGGUCGGAUUAGCAAGUUGGUGGGGUAAAGGCCUACCAAGGCGACGAUCCGUAACUGGUCUGAGAGGAUGAUCAGUCACACUGGACCUGAGACACGGUCCAGCCUCCUACGGGAGGCAGCAGUGGGGAAUAUUGGCAAAUGGGCGAAAGCCUGAUCCAGCCAUGCCGCGUGUGUGAAGAAGGUCUUCGGAUUGUAAAGCACUUUAAGUUGGGAGGAAGGGCAGUAAGUUAAUACCUUGCUGUUUUGACGUUACCAACAGAAUAAGCACCGGCUAACUUCGU
rnacentral:rRNA from 1 species